rnacentral:rRNA from 1 species
GUACACGCUGUGACUAGCAUUAUCAAUAAGCGGAGGAAAAGAAACUAACAAGGAUUCCCCUAGUAACGGCGAGUGAAGCGGGAAGAGCUCAAAUUUGAAAUCUUAAAGGGUUUCCCUUUACGAAUUGUAGUUUAAAGAAGUGUUUUCUGUUGAGGUUUUGGUAAAAGUUCUUUGGAAUAGGACAUCAUAGAGGGUGAGAAUCCCGUAUUUGACCUUUACUUUCAACUUUGUGAUACACUUUCAAAGAGUCGGAUUGUUUGGGAAUGCAGUCCAAAAUGGGUGGUAAAUUUCAUCUAAAGCUAAAUAUUGGCGAGAGACCGAUAGCGAACAAGUACCGUGAGGGAAAGAUGAAAAGAACUUUGAAAAGAGAGUUAAACAGUACGUGAAAUUGUCAAAAGGGAAGCGUUUGACACCAGUGUUGUUUUUCUGAAAAUCAAUUAAAGAACUGUUUAUGCUAAGUUGUUUAGACUUUAUCAGCUAUCUGUUUAGUUUUGAGCUUUUCUUUAAUGCACUUUUCAGUUAACAAGUCAACAUCAAUUUCUUUUGCUGUAAAAAAGCUUGAGGAAGGUGGCUUGAGAUUCGUCUUAAGUGUUUAUAGCCUCUUGCCUAUGCAGUCGGAGAGAUUGAGGUCUGCAGCGUAGAUCCUUCGGGGCUAAAUGCAUUUGUGCUAAGUUAUAGCAUUUUAUAGACAACUUGUUGACUAUGAUUUGUCUUGUAGCUUACUCGCUUAUGUUAUUUUACCUACGCUUAGGAUGUUGACUGAUAUGUAGUCGU